GACGAACCGUGCAAACGUUGUUCGGAAUCACUGGGCUUAAAGGGCGCGUAGGCGGGCCAGCAAGUCUGUGGUGAAAGCCUCCAGCUUAACUGGAGAAGUGCCGUGGAUACUGCUGGCCUCGAGGAGGAUAGGGGCAUCUGGAACGGUCGGUGGAGCGGUGAAAUGCGUUGAUAUCGACCGGAACUCCGGUGGCGAAGGCGAGGUGCUGGGUCCUUUCUGACGCUGAUGCGCGAAAGCCAGGGGAGCAAACGGG
rnacentral:rRNA from 1 species